ACGACAGUUUUCCGGCCUAGUUUGCGGCUGCUCCUGCCGUGUUGCGUAGGGCGCCUGUGCUUGAGGUUGGGGGUUGCGUCGCUCUCUGGUAAAGGCGUGCAGGUGUUGGCCGCGGCCUCUGAGCUGGGAUGAGCCGUGCUCCCGGUGGAAGCAAGGGAGCCCAGCCGGAGCCAUGGCCAGUACAGUGGUAGCAGUUGGACUGACCAUUGCUGCUGCAGGAUUUGCAGGUUUGUUUAUGGUUUGGGGAUGGAAGUGAAGUCGGGGAGAUUGGAGAUUUAGUUUACUUAUUCUGUUGCUUUUGGUUUUAGGCCGUUACGUUUUGCAAGCCAUGAAGCAUAUGGAGCCUCAAGUAAAACAAGUUUUUCAAAGCCUACCAAAAUCUGUAAGACUUUGUUAAUUCUUUGCUGCUUCUAUUUGAAACCUAGAGCCACACUUAGGGAAGGGUAAAUUUCCAAAUAUCCAUGAAGUUCUAAGUGAUUGCUUUGGACCCAUUCUCCUGCUUCCUGCAAGGAGAGUAUAGAAGUUCUGAACUUUGUGAUGGUGCUACCCUGAAACAUCAGAUGUUAUAUGUGACAGAGUUGGAUGGGGUUUUGACAAUUCUAGUACCCCACUAGACCCAAGUUUCACUUUUUCACAUACCAUCACCUUCAGCAUCAUCUGUACAUAUUCUUGUUUUCCUUCAUCUGCUCUGCAUCGCACACACAGAGGUAUAUGAUUCUAAAGUGAUCCGAUCUGACCAUGUGGCCCUGGCACUCCCAAACAUCAUACAUAGGUAGCACUCUAGUUAAUUAGGCUAUAGGGUUUGGCUUGAUGUUAUGGUCAUACUCUCUGUGGUCACAGUUAAGAAUAGAUUUGGCUGUGAUCACCUGUUGAAUAUGUUGUGAUUAAGUGUAACAGAAUAGAGUGAUUGUAGGCUUUACCAAUAUGAUUUCUGACAUGGCAAGGUCAGAGGACCUAAUAGUGGUAUUUUCUGUAUAUAUAUCUUAAAGUCUUGUUUCAAAUACACUUGAACCUCUUGUCUCAAAAGACUUCUGUUCUUGAGCCACUUCUUGCAGAUUUUUAUCUAGAAUAUGGCUAAUUUGGAAUGAUCUUUCCUUUACUCCCGGAAGACCUGGCUUUCAGACACUGUUAUUUUGUCUUAUAUUUCUAAGAUAGUUCAUAUUGACUGGAAAAAAAUGAAUCUGUUUAAUGAUCAUUAAAAUACUACUUGUUGCUACUUAUUUAU
rnacentral:lncRNA from 1 species